GUCUCCUUGGUGUAGUUGGUUAUCACGUGGGUCUCAUAUCCUCAAAUAUGACUUCUCCUAAGGAGUAGACAUCCCAAGGUCGCCAGUUCGAGUCUGGCAGGGGACA